GUACAGCCGAGCCGUGCAAGGUACCGAUACAUCGGCCAUGCGAUGGUGAAUAAUGAAGCAAGGUACAAUCAAGUAAAAAGAUCGUUUGAUUGCAGUUCCUUUUACUUACUUGCAACGUACGGACGGAUGGGCAAACCGUUCCUCAAUCUCAUCAAAGACUUCGCCGCACACAACGCCCACCGAGCAUAGGCCAACAUCAACAAGCGAACGCAAGACAUCUACGACUCCAUCACCCCGCCCACCGAGCUCCGCAACCGAAUCCACCUACGCAACCUCGC
rnacentral:lncRNA from 1 species